rfam:Flavobacteriaceae bacterium 3519-10, complete genome.
AAGGGGGAAGCCGAAAACCCGUGUCAGAGUAGGCA